GUCAGGACGUGGGCCACGUGUUCAAGAAAUUCAUCAAGUUAACUGUGGGCGAGGCAGACGUGCAGUCCAUCAUUGGCCUGCAGUGCUUCUUCACAAUGCACAUGAAUGAGGCCUUCAGUGCCUCACAGUUCUCUGCUGUACUGGUGGAACCCCUACCAAUGAGCCUGCCUGGUGCUUGCCUGAGUUCCCAGGAGCUGUCUGGUGGCCCUGGUGAUGGCCCCUGA
rnacentral:lncRNA from 1 species